GUGGCGAGGUUCAUCAUGGAGGCAAGUGUCAAGCUAGGGAUGCGCUUCCGUUCCCAUUGCCACUGCUUGCACCAUUUACCAUAAGUUCUUCUGCGAGACCAGCCUGGACGCCUAUGACCCUUACCUGAUUGCCAUGUCUUCCAUUUACUUGGCUGGCGAAGUGGAAGACAAGCACCUGCGGACUCGUGACAUCAUCAGUGUGUCCAACAGGUACUUUAACCCAAGCGGUGAGCCCCUGGAAUUGGACUCCGCUUCUAGGAGCCCUGGGACAGCAUUGUGCAGUGUGAGCUUCUCAUGCUGAGAGUUCUGCGCUUCCAGGUCUCCUUCCAGCAUCCACACAAGUACCUGCUCCACUACCCGGUUUCCUCAAGAACUGGCUGAACGGCCACAGCUGGCAGCGGACCCCCUUUGCCGUCACUGCCUGGGCCCUGCUGCAGGACAGAUACCACGGGGGGACUGUGCCUCCGCUUCCAGGCCCAGCAUAUCGCCGUGGCGGUGCUCUACCUGGCCCUGCGGGUCUACGGAGUUGAGGUGCCCGCCGAGGUGGAGGCUGAGAAGCCGUGGUGGCAGAUUUAUACUAUGGACACAGAGAUCCCCUAAGGCCCUGGCCCAGGCCUGCCCAAAGAGAAGCCCAGGAUGGUCGGCUGCCUGGGGACAUUGCCACCACGUCGCCACGAUGGCUGGUCCUCAGAGGACCAGCUGGGAGGACUGGUUGUGCUGCUGGAGAAGGGCUGGAGAAGGCGAUGGCAUGCUGCCGCUUUGACAGUCCCUAACAGUCGCGGUCCAGAUAAUGGUGGGAGCCACGCCUCCAGCGGGCAGGCCGGGAGUGCACUGUGUGCAGCUGAGUCACGGCAGCCACAUCUGCUUU